UACGUAGGGGGCAAGCGUUGUCCGGAUUUAUUGGGCGUAAAGAGCGCGCAGGCGGUCGUUCAAGUCGCGUGUGAAAGCCCCCGGCUCAACUGGGGAGGGUCACGCGAUACUGAUCGACUCGAAGGCAGGAGAGGGAAGUGGAAUUCCCGGUGUAGUGGUGAAAUGCGUAGAUAUCGGGAGGAACACCAGCGGCGAAGGCGACUUCCUGGCCUGUUCUUGACGCUGAGGCGCGAAAGCUAGGGGAGCAAACGGG
rnacentral:rRNA from 1 species